UAUCUGCCAACAUAAUUAAAUUACAAAAAAAAGUUAAAAUUAGAAAGAUAUAACUCUGUUUUCUUCCCGUGCUAACUUCCCCACAAAUAGCCCUGUUUACAAUUUCCUAAACGCAUGAAACGAAGACAAUAGCAAUGAUCUUAAAACAUUUGUGCAUCAAUCAAAGGAGGAGUACCAACUUCAAUUGUUCCUUCCAACAUUUGCAUAACCUUUUUCAGUGAUGGUCUGAGAGUUGGGUUGGGACAUAUGCACCAUAAUCCUGCCAUCACCAUUCUCUCGAACCUAUUAAAAUCCUGUAAAACAUCAGGAUCAUGGCUGACAAUGGCUUUUAGGUUAUCGGUUCUCACCGAACACAGAACCCAAUCAGUUAGAAUCAUGUCAUCUCCUUCUCUUGCUUCAUCAACUUGAUGCAACUCUAAGUGCCUUCUGCAAAAAAUAGUCUCAAGUAGCAUCACACCAAAGCUGUAGACAUCAACUUUAGUCGUCACAGGAGCAUUCUUGAGCCAUUCAGGGGCCAUAUAUCCCAUGGUUCCUCUAACAUUGGUACUCGUUCGAGUCUGGUCCUUCAUCAGGAGCUUUGCCAGGCCAAAAUCUGCUAUCUUGGCUGUAUAAUUGUUGUCAAGAAGAACAUUCUGUGGCUUUAUGUCGCAAUGGAUGAUCUGCGUUUCACACUCUUCAUGCAAAUAUAACAAGCCUCUUGCAAUUCCAAGUACUAUUUCUGCUCUUUUAUCCCAACUGGGUUUUGUCUCUUCACCAAACAGAAAAUUGGACAAAGUCCCAUUCAUCAUUAGCUCAUAAACCAAAAGUCGAUGAUUCUGCUCAUUACAGAAACCCAACAGCCUAACAAGAUUCCUGUGAUGAGUUAGACCAAUUACUUGGACUUCUGUCAGAAAUUCCUUUUCGCCUUGUUCAAUGAUCUUCUCAAGCUGCUUCACAGCAAUCUCAACCUCUUUAUCCUCUAUAUUUAACAUCCCACUGUAGACAGUACCAAAAGCACCUUUCCCAAGUUUGUUUCUGAAACCAUUUGUUGCUUGGCGCAACUCCUGGUAGGAAAAUGCCUUCAAAUUUAUUUCCACAGGCUUUGGACUUGGAACCUGCUUGUUACAUAUAAAAGGCUGAGCUAGAGGGUGAUGGUAAAUGGCAAUGGCUGCAAAGAGCAAAGCCAUUAUCGAGCACAACAGAAGUCCUGCUAACAGAACAGCCCUGGAUGGAGAUUUACGCCUGUUAUUGUCUUGAAUUUCGUUCGUGUUAUUUACCUUCGGAACUUUAAGAAAUGCCACUAUAUUACUUGUAGAAGGGAAGCUUAUUCUAGCAUUCAACAAAGGCAUUCUCUUCUUGUAACACACAGAUUCGACCAAAACAGCUGCCAUGGCAAAACAAUCAUCCGUGAUUUCACUCUUGCAUUGAUCAACAUCUGCUGGAGCAGUCCUUGCCAUAUCAGCAAAUUCCCCAUUUGGGAAAUCAGCAUUAUCAAUCACUUCGAUAGUGAAAUCUGAAGUCGAAGAAUUAGGAGCACAAAAGUCCAUCACCACAUUAGGGUAGCAACCUUUUGAGGGAACAUUAGGAUCCCAUGGUGAGUAGCCAGGCAAGCAAUCACAGUUGACAGUUUUAUUAUCAGGUGAAGUGCAGAAGCCAUACACCCCACAAAUAUUAUACACCGUGCAAGGCUGAGCAGCAAUGAAAUCUGGCUCCCACACAACUGUCCAUUUGUUGCCAUUUUCUUUGCGGUAAACAAGCUGUUGGAGAUUUCCGUAGUCAUUGAUCGUCACUCGGUGGUAGUAAUCUUCAAUCGGAGUAGGCACUUUUUGUGUCAUUGUGGGUAUGAUUGAAGUACGAUUUACAACAUAUAAAAGAGCAGUACUCUGGUUGAAAAUCAAGCUCACAUUUUGGUUUCCAGCAGUUAAGCUGAACCAGUAACCAGGAUCAGCAAACCUAUAGGCAGACAUAACAACAUUGCCAUCCAUCUGAACCUCCAACAUGUACCUCCCCGUCGAGUAAUCCACUGUUCCAUUUGCAUUAGAGUAGAGCUUCUGGCCCAUAACCAGGACUUGGCCUAAUAAAAUGGUGUCUGUAGGAAAAUCAAAGCUCUGCCAGAUGAUUUUUGAAGAAGAGUCUAGCAAGACAAAAUUGCCAUCGUCUUGCAUCAAAGCAGAAAUAGUGGAUGUGCCAUUGUAUACUAGGUAUUCGGUUCCAUUUGAG
rnacentral:misc_RNA from 1 species